CGCGGCGAUGAGGGGCACCACGUACGUGGUACCACCACGCACCAUGGUGGGGAUGAGAGGUGUUGUAGCCCUUCCAUCGAGCUCGACUCCAGCGGUCCAGGCCGGCGACGACGAUAACAUGAUCCCUACCAGUGAUGAGCACGACGUGCUCCGGCCAACCGCCUCGACCUCAACAAGCCCCGUCGAGAUUCGUCAGCCCACCCUUCUCUUCUUUCACCACCAGGGGUUGAGGAGGAGCACCAUCAACUCACUUGAUUUUAUCUUCAAUUUUCUAUUCAGCUCAAAGAGGUUCCGCGGUACAGCCUAGGAAAUAAAAGGUGAGUCAAUUUGAAACACGACCACCACCAACGUGCUUUUUUCUUCUUUCUCUUUCUAAUAGUGUUGAUUGUAUCUAUACGAUAUGUUAAUAGAUGCAUCGAAGUCUGAUUUGGCACUUAUUUCUUAAGCUGAAUGGAGAGGUCAAAUUGAGCUAUAAGCUGUUUUCUACUGUAUUUCUUUAGUUCCAAUUCAUUGGAUUUGAUAUUAAAGUUCUAUAGCCAAAUGAUAGUUCAGAUUGAGUACAUCUGCUACUCCACUUAUUUAAAAUCUACCAUAUUCUGUUAUUUAAACUAUUAACUAUUGACUAGAUGAUGCAGAUGCUUUCCCCAUGGGAUAACUUGACAAUUUUUUUAGAGAAGUGAUAAAAAACGUCAAGCUUGAAGAACAAAAGUUUGAGCAUUGAAAUGCUGACUUCAAAUGCCAUGUAGUUCAUAGUCUAUGUGCAAUGGCUCUUUAAUUUGACUGAAGCAAAUGUGAUCCCAGCGCGUCGACCUUGGAGACGACUGCAAUUGUUUGACGUCCUUCACAACUCACAACUGCUAUGGCUCAGGCUGGAUAUUUUGCUUCGUGCUGAUUGGGCAAACGGCUAUCAACACCGAUGUUAGCACCAUCCAUCUUUCUAGCGCACUUCCAAGCACGCAAGUAUGAGAAUACCAUGGCCAAGGAUCAGAUGGUGAUGCACCGCGGCAGGGCCAUCGGGAUGAAAAAGAAGCUUUUUUUGUGCCCCACGGUGGCCACACCACUACCGCCUACUCGACAAUGAAAGCCGGAAACCAUCCCACCACCGCUAGGGAGCUCUUGGUUGCACCGCAAGCUGCAAGGCCUUGUCAACUUGCUCGUGUCACUUAAGCGCUAUGGCCUCUCGCUGCUCAAAAUUGAUAGUUUGGUGCAGUGUCAUUCUUUUUCCCUUGCGCUCAUGAGGGGAGAGAGAGGGAGAGCAGAGAAGAGUGUGAACGCAGUGCUAGCUGGUAGAUAUGGUCUGUGUGUAAGGCGGCAGUGAUCUGCUGCUAUGAUUCUCGGUGAGCCAAGGUAACAGAUAGCCGUUCCAUCCCUUCUGGCGCCCUAUGGAGCCUGGCCAGAGUUUCCGUCAAAGCUAGCUGGGCAAGUGCCAGAACCCAGGAGCAUAUGAUUUUGCUGCUCUUGAGAUACAUGCCAAUAUUGCAAUCUUGAUUGUGCAACUAUAUAGACAAGGGAUUGCAUUUCUACAUUGAAGGUUCAGUGUUGAAGCUGCUUGAAUUGAGCCGCAAUAGAUCUUGACUUCGGCAAAAAAUAAGGUAUAUUGAGCUUAAUGACGAAUGGUUACAUAUAGAUAGAACUGGUUGUAAUAUAUACAUUUUUUGUCCUGAAGUAGCUCUUCUACCUUUGAUUCGUGUAAUGAAUAUCCAGUGUAUAUAGUUCAUUCUUUACACCUUUUCUUUAAGAGAACACAUAUUUCUUUGUGUUUA